rnacentral:tRNA from 1 species
GCCGGCGUGAUGGAAUUGGCAGACGUGCCGGACUCAAAAUCCGGUGGUGGCAACACCGUAUCGGUUCGACCCCGAUCGCCGGCACCA